rnacentral:lncRNA from 1 species
CUACUUUUGGUGUCCCCCUCAGGAAUUGCUCUUGAGAAAAUUUCAUGUAAUUGUCCCCUCCAAAGUUGACAUCAGAUUUUCGCCCCUGAUUACAUAUAACUGAGUUUUUAAUUUAAUGUAUACAUUUCUCCAUAUUGAUGUUCACUCAUUUUGACAAAGGCAACUUAUAACUACUACCACUGAUGCCACAUGGUCAAGGUGUCAUGUGUAACUCCCAGAUGAAUGAGUCAGGGAAUGGGUAAUUAAGGGGUGGGCCAUGUGAAUCUCCCUCAGGGCACUGACAAGGCUCUACAAGCCCUCCUUAUUACGAUUAUGGCCCUAGUUCCCUCCUCACACAGGUAGGAAAGAGGACAGUGUUUCACAACCCUGACCUGUGAUAAUCACUAUGAAAUCUGAGCACAUUAAUGAUUAUCUUCCACAUAGGGAUUCUCAUUGACAGAGUCACCACCACAGUCAAUAACAUUUAUGAGGAAGGCCAUGUUCUAAUUCCCUCCCAAAUCACUAAAGGGCCAUCAUGAUGAUUUUGUCCAAUUUAUUUGAAGGGUAAUACUUUUAUUUGUGCUGCUAUCAAUGAAGUUAAAGAUUUGAAUGCAGCCACUAAGUGUAAGUUGACUUUCUGCCUUUCAUACACCAGCAGUCCAAUUCUAAUGCUGCGAGGAUUUGACAUAGUCUAUAAUUAUAGCUGAAAGCCUAUAUGACUGUAGGAGGUUGAUGCAUUCUCUGGCAAGACCCAGGAGACAUUUGAUUUUAUCUGUGUCAUUAAACAGCAAAGUGCUUAAAAAUCAAAUAAACAUGGCAAUAAAAGUGGUUGGGUUCUCUUUUAGAUAAUUUUUUUUGAGGUUCAUGAAACAAAAGGAAGUGUGAUAGGUGAAUAAUAGCUGUGAAAGAAUUCAAUGUGAAGGUAAACUUGAGAUUUCAGAAGCAGUAAAACUCUCAAUCUGAGAGGGAUACAGUAUGUAAUUGUCACGUCCUGACCCUAGUAAGAUGUCAUUUUCUAUAGUAGAGUAGGUGACAUCUAUAGUAGAGUUUGUGUUUUUUUCUAGGUUUGUGUUCUAGGUUUUCUAUUUCUAUGUUGUUGUUUUUUUGGGUUGAUUUCCAAUUAGAGGCAGCUGGUCCUCGUUGCCUCUGAUUGGAGAUCAUAUUCAUGUAAGGGGUUUUCCUUUUGUAUUUUGUGGGUUGUUAUCUUUUGAGUAGUGUUUGUUUCUCUCUGCGUCACGGUUUGUUGUUUUUGUAAAUUCAGUUAUUUUGUGUAUUGAAAAAGUUUCACGGAUUUUAUCAAAUGUGGAACUACAACCACGCUGCACUUUGGUCUGAUCCUUUUGACAGCCAUGACAGUAAUUCAACUGUAGGAAUAGAUUGUUACUCAAUCGCUCUUCCCUCUGACAACAGCAUGUCUUUCAGUGAGUCAAGGACAAUUAUCAUACCCUUAGCUUGUCAAGAUGUGUCGGAGGAACUACAAUUUUAUCUAUUUUCAAAACAAGUGGGUGGACAGAUGCUAUAGAGUCUAUUUCUCUGAGAGGGGGUGUAUUGCAUAGUGACAGAAAAGCCAGAGACAAGAAGAAAUGACGGAUAAGUGAGAGUUAAGCAACUUUGACCUUCAAAGACUUCAACUAACAUUGUUUUUGUCUGGUCCAAACUCAGUAUCCUAUAAUUCUAUAUGAGGAUACUAGGGGAAUUUGAGGAAAAUGUUUACAGGGAAAUAAAAGGCAAGUUUGAGGAUUGGGUACGUGGGUGUUCUAGUAUCACUCCAGAUGUUAUUCUUUGACGAAAGGAAAGUCUCAAGAAAUAUACAAGAGAUGGAAGAUAAUAGAAGCAAGGUUAUAAAACACACAAAAGUAUGAAAUGUAUGGAAUUCAAGGGCAACAUUUUAGAAUAAGAUGCCCUUUAUGUCAUGGUUAGUUUGAUAAGGGGGAAUGCAGUACUAAUUAUUGUCCCUGUUUACUGAAAUAAACAAGAAAUAGAACAUCAUUUCCAUAUAAGGGAAUAAAUCAAACAUGGAGUUUAUAAAAAAUAACUAGAGGCCUUUCCAGAUGACUGACAAAAGUGAAACUGAAAAGUCAUCUGAAGCUGCUUGCAUUUGCCCGAACCAUCAGCAUAAUUCCUCACUCAAACCAGAGCAAAAAGGCCAGUCUGCACAUGUUCUAGUGCAAACCUGACACUACAUGACAUUAGGCAUGAAAAGAAACCCAGAGGAAUGAUCCAUGUUAUCAUACAAUUGAGAUGUGAGACACUCCUCUGGCUCAGAAAUGUGCAAGACCUAAACACAGCUUGAGGUUAGUUCAAGUGCUUUAAAUCUGUAUGAGUAAACCACUCAGGAAAAGAGAGGCAGGAAGUCAAACAGAGAAGACUGUGAUUUUAAGAGCUUUAACAAGAUGAUGAAACAACAGAGAAAAACAGAGGUCAUUUUUGUCUGGGUCUUAGCCAUCUGGCUCUCUUCAGUUGUCAACAGUGAAAAGAAUUUGGCAGUACAUCCAACCGGCCUCACAACCGCAGACCAUGUGUAAACAUGCCAGACCAGGACCUCCACAUCUGGCUUCUUCACCUGUGGGAUCGUCUGAGACCAGCCACGUGGACAGCUGAUGAAACUGCGGGUUUGCACAACCAAAGAAUUCUGCACAAACUGUCAGAAACUAUGUCAGGAAAGCUCAUCUGCAUGCUUGUCGUCCUCACCAGGGUCUUGACCUGACUGCAGUUCGGCGUCGUAACCAACUUCAGGGGGCAAAUGCUCACCUUCGAUGACCACCGGCACGCUGGAGAAGUGGGCUCUCCACGGAUUAAUCCCGGUUUCAACUGCUGAUCGGGCAGACAGCAGACAGCGUGAAUGUGGUCGUUUGGGCGAGCAGUUUGCUGAUGCCAACGUUGUGAACAGAGUGCCUCAUGGUGGUGGUGGGGUUAUGGUAUGGGCAGGCAUAAGCUACUGACAGUGAACACAAUUGCAUUUAAUCAAUGGCAAUUUGAAUCCCCAGCGAUACCAUGACGAGAUCCUGAGGCCCAUUGUCGUGCCAUUCAUCCGCCGCUUUCACCUCAUGUUUCAGCAUGAUAAUGCACAGCCCCAUGUCAUAAGGAUCUGUACACAAUUCCUGGAAGCUGAAAAUGUCCCAGUUCUUCCAUGGCCUGCAUACUUACCAGACAUGUCACCCAUCGAGCAUGUUUGGGAUGCUCUGGAUCAGUGGUCGCCAACUGGUCGAUCUUCAAGGCAUUCCUAGUCGAUCACCAAAUAUUUCUGUAGAAAAGCCAACGAACGAUAAAGGCUUGCGCUCCUUUUUUAAAAUCGUGUUGAGCGCACAGGGUAAGCAAAGUGUUUCCACGAGACAAACUCUGCCUAUCCGCAAGACCGGCAAAUCUGUGACUAAAUCGAGUGCACCUACUGCGCUGCCCAAUCGGAUAGCUCAAAUCACUGUGGCUACAGAGCUUCCAUGACCCUGGCCACAGCUAAGUUUAAUAGGCUACUAGCGUACGUACGAUUUUAUAACUUUUAAAACCAUGACCACAGAGGAUCUGUCAACGAAUACAGCAAAGAGCUGGUGAUUUUAUGAGAACAACAUGAAUUUGUGCAUGAGGCAGAUGUGGUGCGACUCGAGUUUCGCCAUCAGGUGGAAGACGGUGUCCUCUCUCUCUGGUAAAGUGGAGCUGAGAACCAGUACUGAGGUAAAGGCUCAGUGUGAUCAGAAUGUGUCCCUGCAGUGUGACAUCAUGUCACCGAGCCCACUCAAGAUCAUUCUCUUUUCCUGGGUAAGGAAAGGGAAACAGCUGUGUGUGGUCAAUGCCACUGGUGUAUUCUCCUUUCCUGGCGUCCGGUGUGACAACACAAACAACACCCUCACACUCAAUCUGACUCGGGUGAUGCCGUCCAGUCAGGGUAACUACACCUGCAAACUGCGCUCCAACCUAACGAUCACAGCUGCCAACACCACUGUGACAAUGCAAGAGUGCCUAAGGACAUCUGAGCACAAAGUGUUCCAGAAUGAGUCUCAGGUUGAGUGCCAGUUAUUUGGAGUUUACCCAGAAGGCACAGUACACUGGUUCCUGGGCUCUGAGAAUAUAACAGAGUCCGCCAGCACAAAGAGCCAGCUGGAUGAAGAGGGGCUGUUUGAUAUAAGGAGUACCCUGCCUACCCAGGCUGGGACUGAGCCUUACAACUGCUCCUUGUGGAUACCUAGUAGUGGAACCUACAGCUCUCACAAACAGCUGCACUACUCCAGGGGGCUCUCUUCAGGGACAAAGACUAGGAGCAGACUGCUGUUGUUCUUCAUCCUGGUUGGACUCAUAAUCAUAAUUUAGGACUACUCAUGGGAAGGUCAGGAGUUUUUUUACUGAAUAUGGGACUUCGAACUACAGUAGGGCAAAGGGCUUUUCUGGUCAGGGCACAUCUACACAGGAUGGAUCAGGGCCUUUCUCUUACUGAGUGAAGAGAAAGCAAACCUGGACUGCCAUGGCCAAAGUAGAUAUAUGUUUUCACUUAUUAUACUGGGAAGCAAAAUAUCAAAGAAAUUGCAAUAAAUACAAUUGAAUUUUAAAGCUGAAAAUCAUUGUACAUUGGGAUUUGAGAAUACUGUAAGAAGUAUUCAUCCGUUCAUCGUUUGUCUUCAACGUUAUACACUUGCUUAAAUUGCAUUGCUUAUUACAGUAGUAGAGUACUGCUUCCUGGUGGUGAAAGUGUUUACUGAUGGAAAUAGUAUUGAUGUUAGAUGAGUAAUAAAGCUGUUCUAAAUUGUAUUGUUGAAUUGACUGAUCUUGCUUAUUAAGUCUGUCAUAUCUUGUUGCUGUGUUUUCCAGUCAGCACUGAUUAGACUGAUUAUAUAAUCAAUCAAUGCAAUGUCAAAACAUGGCUAGAAGGACAUGUUACUGUGUGUUCUGGAUUCUAAAAUACAACUUGAAUUGUACCAUAGCAAAUAUAGUCACCCGUGUUGUUUUCUGUACUAGUUCUCAAUUUAAAAAUGAACCAGACCACCCUGGGUACUCAUGACAUUGACAGUAAAAGAAUGAGGACUCAUGGUCAUUCAAAUUGCAUUUCUAGUUCCUUCUCAGUGUACCACAAGGGGGCAGAGUCAUCCCACCAGAGAGGACUGUCAAACCAAUCAUACACAACUCUUCUCCCUCUGCAUACAAACACACACUCAUGCUGUGUGAAUUCCAAUCCAACUGUUCUGUAUAAAUCAACACUUUGAUGUGACACAUUUCCUAUCAAUUUCCUCUACGCCAAUGUGGGUCUCCUGCAAAGUGAAGGAGUGAAGGGUAAAAUGUCUGUCAUUAUAAAACACUCAAAUAAAUCCACAUGACUUCUGUGGUGUCAAACUCACAUCUCUAAUGCAUUAUCCAGGUGCGAGGAUAUGUAAUGUGUUUUAGAUGGACUGACCUUGUUGCACAUGUUGUGUGGGCUGCUGUGAGAGAUGUUAAAAGUACCUGUUGAGUACACAGUAUAACAACACAUGCAUUUUUCUGAUAAAUAGGUACAUUUCCCCAACAAUUGUGAGGAUUCCUGCAAAGUGGGAUGUCAUUAUCAAACACUAUGAGUCCUGUUGUCAUUAUCAAACACUCAUCAAUAUGAUGAGUACUGUUGUCAUUAUCAAACACUCAUCAAUAUGAUGAGUCCUGUUGUCAUUAUCAAACACUCAUCAAUAUGAUGAGUCCUGUUGUCCCAAGCAGGGCAUGAUCAGAAAUAUAGUGUUUUAAAUCGACUGACAGUUUGUUUCAGUAAAAUCAAACAUUAUCUAGAAUGGAGAUGAUGGUGUUGUGUCUUUGCAUCAUUAAAACGGAAGACAUGUUUAUCAAAUAACUUUCUGUAAUUAUUAUUACGCGAUUAAACUGAUUAAUCGUGUAACUGUAAUUAACUAGGAGGUCGGGGCACCAAGGAAAAUAUUUAGAUUACAAAGUUAUAAUUUUCCUAAUAUAACUUUCAGAUAUCAUACUAUCUGAUCUGAGUCUUCUGAUUAAUGAUGUGUUAUUUACCUCGCCA